UACGUAGGGUGCAAGCGUUGAUCGGAAUUACUGGGCGUAAAGCGUGCGCAGGCGGUGAUGUAAGACAGGUGUGAAAUCCCCGGGCUCAACCUGGGAACUGCAUUUGAGACUGCAUCGCUUGAGUGCGGGAGAGGGGGAUGGAAUUCCGCGUGUAGCGGUGAAAUGCGUAGAUAUGCGGAGGAACACCGGUGGCGAAGGCGGCCCACUGGGCCUGAACUGACGCUCAGGCACGAAAGCGUGGGGAGCAAACAGG
rnacentral:rRNA from 1 species